rnacentral:tRNA from 1 species
GUGGGUGUAACUCAGUGGUGAGUAUAUGCUUAGCAUUUAUGAAGCCCUGGGUUCAAUCCCCAGCACACAGA